UCGGGCCUACGGGAGGCAGCAGUGAGGAAUAUUGGUCAAUGGGCGAGAGCCUGAACCAGCCAAGUCGCGUGAAGGAUGAAGGAUCUAUGGUUUGUAAACUUCUUUUAUAUGGGAAUAAAGUGAGGAACGUGUUCCUUUUUGUAUGUACCAUAUGAAUAAGCAUCGGCUAACUCCGUGCCAGCAGCCGCGGUAAUACGGAGGAUGCGAGCGUUAUCCGGAUUUAUUGGGUUUAAAGGGUGCGUAGGCGGUAUUUUAAGUUAGUGGUAAAACGUCGGGGCUUCACCUUGAUUGGCCAUUAAAACUGG
rnacentral:rRNA from 1 species